UGGAAGUUCAAAUCUGAGGUGUUCUACCUUCAAGAUAAUACCUAGAAGCUCUUUCAUGGCUUGCAUUCUCAAUGAGGACUCUUCUGUCUGAACAUGUGGUGCUGGGAAUUGAACCUUGGGCCCUGCACAGAUGAGGGUUUUAGCGUUGUGAAGAGACACAUGGUGCUGGAGAUGGAGCUGAGAGUUCUGCAUCUUGACCUACAGGCAGCCAUGAGGAGACUGGCUCAGCACUGGGCAUAUCUGGAGCGUAUAUAUGAGACCUCAAGCCCACCCACGGUGACACUUCCUCCAACAAGGCCAUACUUUCUAAUAGUGCCAUUCCUUAUGAAAGAUGUUUAUACCCAGUGACAGCCACUACCCAGCCACCAGCGCAGGGCCUGAAAGCUGAGCCUACACUGGGAACUAUUUACUGUCAGCUGCUCUCUGUCAGCAGGCUCCGGAGCCACAGGGACUCUAAGGAAGCAAAGGUAGGGAGCAAAGGGAGAGACAGCCACAGGAGGCACGUGGCAUUAUCUUGCUAUGGCACUAUUCACUGCUGAGUGUCUGCCUGUUCACACCAUCCCAGAGGGCAGUGUAACACUGGUGGGCUAUAUGAACACCAACCAGAUCAAAACGCUGGAGGAAAAGACUCUCAGGGCCAGGUCCCCAAAGGAGGGGGUGCUGAAGUUUUCAGCAGCUUCCUCCUCCUCCUGUGGACACCAGGAUGGCAAAGCAGAGAUCCUCCAUGGCCACCAGGAAUGGAGGGCGCUGUCCUGUGGCCCUGCCCUUGGCCUCUGUGGCAGGGAUGAUCUUGUCGUCACCUCUGCCUGUGCUCCCUCACCACGCUGUCUUCACAGAUUGAGAGCCAGCUGAAGAGGAGAGAGAGGCUGCAGAGGAUACCUGAACCGGGGAGCUGGUUGGGUUCCCACAGGGCACUGCGAGGCGUUGCCUGGUAAGAACAAGGCAGGCAGGAGGAGUGCUGCUCAAGGCUUUUCCUUGUUUCCCCAGAGGGUUCAAGAAGGGUGGAGGCAGCAAUGAGGAAAGCCUGCGUUUUUUCCAAGGUGUUGGAGAACGAGCUGGCCCCUGGCUGAUCUUAAACAGCGCGGCUGAGGGCCAUAGCGAGGGUACUGUGUAAGCCAUGAAGCUUUGGGUCAUCGGCACCGCCAGUUCCCUGUGCUUCUAGCUCUGCAUGAAACCAAGGGCCAUAAAGGUAAGGUAUCAAGGGGACUGAUGAGGGAACAGGGAACAGCCUGAAAGUCUAAGAAUUCUACUCAGCCCAUCAGUGGGCCACGCUGGUGCCACAGGGACAUCUGACGUACUGGCUAGCUGUUCACCCACACUGGGAGGUGCCCACAGUACUGUCCUUGCUGUCCUAAACCUCUCACUUCCUAACCUUCUGGCCUGCCCGCUAGCUCACGUUCACAUUCAGAACAUUUCAGGGGCUGCUGAGGAGAGCCACGGUGAACAGGAGCCAGGUUGAGGGUAACGUGAGGUGGCUAGCAGGAUGAAACUGGAGUCCCAACUGCAGGAGGCCACCCAGAGAGAGCCUCUAAAGAGGGAACUGCAGACACCCUCCCAAUGGCAGAAGCUGCCCCUGGGAGGUGAUCUGUAAGCAUAUCUGAAGGACCCUGCCCUCCGUGAUCCUAAAGGAAGAAGAAGGGACCGAAAAAGGAAGGUGACAUCUCAGUGAUGCUUGUGUGUGUUCUAAGCAGAGGCGGCAGGAGUCCCUAAGGAGAAGGAGGAACUGCAGCUGAGGGGGCCAUGCAGGACACAGGGAGGACUGGCAAGAGAUCAAGACUGAGCUGGCCAAGACUGUACAUGGAAGAAUCCAACGCCAGCCAGAAGCUCACAGAGGAAGCGCUGUAGGUGAUUGGGCAAAUAGCUUAUCUGUGACUGGAUUCAUUCCAGAGGCAAACUGGGCUUAGCUGAAGGUUCACCUGUAGGGGACAGUGGUGGCAGUAUCACAGAGAGCAUCAAGGCCAUGAAACAAACCAAGCACAUUCCAGAAAAGCGGGCUGAUCAUUUUGACCUUCACACCUGCAGAGACUGUACGAUUAACACGAAGGACUCCCUCAGGGUCUCAUAGACCUAGGCUGGUCCAGGUGGGGACUGUGGCGAUGCCAGGAAAGGAAGAAAAGGUGUGAGAUGGGGAGAAGAUAAGAAGAGGGCUGCAGGAGUGAAGGCUGGGGCUAGCCCCAGCUCCCAAGUAUGCUGGCGACUCCAUGUGUCUGCUUCCUUCUGCUGCUCAGCUGCUGUAGCAAUGACAAUGACAGUUAUGGCUUCGAGAUAUUCUUAGCUGCCGGUCUCAAACUCCCUAUGUAGCUGAGAAUGACCUUGAACUUUAA
rnacentral:lncRNA from 1 species